CAGCAGCCGCGGUAAUACGGAGGGUGCAAGCGUUAAUCGGAAUUACUGGGCGUAAAGCGUGCGUAGGCGGUUCGUUAAGUCUGUUGUGAAAGCCCCGGGCUCAACCUGGGAAUGGCAAUGGAUACUGGCGAGCUAGAGUGUGUCAGAGGAUGGUGGAAUUCCCGGUGUAGCGGUGAAAUGCGUAGAGAUCGGGAGGAACAUCAGUGGCGAAGGCGGCCAUCUGGGACAACACUGACGCUGAGGCACGAAAGCGUGGGGAGCAAACAGGAUUAGAUACCCGCGUAGUCCCUGUCUCUUAUAA
rnacentral:rRNA from 1 species